ACGAGUCCUGUGAUGGAAGCUAAACAUAUCCAAAGUGGUGUAUGAAAACAACCAGGGGUGUGGACAAGAGACACGGCCUCCAGACUGGACUGAACAUCUUACCAGUAAAAAUAAUUUUGAGCAACUCAAUACAUUGAGAUGCAGAAGUCAGAAAAGAGAGGAUCAGGAAGCCAUCAAUUCUGCUUUUACCUGUGCACUUUUUUCUUCUGUAGUUAAAACUAACACUAUAUUGUAUAAGACGGUCUGCAAGCCAAGCGUUCUUCUUCUGCCUCCAUUUGUAUGUAAAUCGGUUCAGG